rnacentral:rRNA from 1 species
GACGAACGCUGGCGGCGUGCUUAACACAUGCAAGUCGAACGGAAAGGCCCUGCUUUUGUGGGGUUCUCGAGUGGCGAACGGGUGAGUAACACGUGAGUAACCUGCCCUUGACUUUGGGAUAACUUCAGGAAACUGGGGCUAAUACCGGAUAGGAGCUCCUGCUGCAUGGUGGGGGUUGGAAAGUUUCGGCGGUUGGGGAUGGACUCGCGGCUUAUCAGCUUGUUGGUGGGGUAGUGGCUUACCAAGGCUUUGACGGGUAGCCGGCCUGAGAGGGUGACCGGCCACAUUGGGACUGAGAUACGGACCAGACUCCUACGGGAGGCAGCAGUGGGGAAUAUUGCACAAUGGGCGGAAGCCUGAUGCAGCAACGCCGCGUGCGGGAUGACGGCCUUCGGGUUGAAAACCGCUUUCGCCUGUGACGAAGCGUGAGUGACGGUAAUGGGUAAAGAAGCACCGGCUAACUACGUG